AUGAUAUAGGAAACAAGGGUCCCCCCCAGGAUGUCUGAAGGGUGAGGUAUCACACUCACGGGCAUGCAGCGUCCCCCGGGUGCUCGGAUUCCUUGGUGAUCUCCUCCGGCCUCACGAGCGUGUGUCAGCGUGAAGAUGGUCGUUUCCUUUUCUCACCGUGGCCGCAUCCCACAGGUUUAGCUGGAGAGCUGGGGCUCUUCCCGCAGUGCCCUGCAGGAGCCACCGUGCAGCCCAGGGAGGGGCCUUCAGACAUCGGGGAGCGAAGCCACACAGAGGCUUCUGCAGUCAGUCACCGGGCAAGACUCAACACUCACUUUGUGUUUGUUCUUAGCCCACCUGACCCAGAAAUGACUGGAGGCAGGCAAGGGGGGCUCAAGCCCUGGGCAUUCGCUGUGUUCAGCAGAAUGAACAGUUCCUAGGCCAGUGCUGGAGGAGGGAGAGGAGCUGUUGACACAUCACCCGUGACAGUGACGCUACUGCUGUCACCACACCAGGGGUGUCCUGAGUGCUUCACCUGAGUGGACCCCGCACCCCAAACAGAAACCCUCUGCAGUCAGAACCCCGGCGACCCGGGUGCCGGGGAAGCAGCUUCGGCACCAUCCGGAAAGUUACAGGAAGCUCCUGGAAGCUUCGAGAGGCAGAGCCCGGGCUAAGCCCGCCACGAUGCUGCCCGCUUCGUGUGGUCUGAGCGCGGAACGUCUCCCUUUGCUUUUCUGCACAAAACACCGCUGUGCUGCCAGUCCUCAAGAUCCAAUCUGCGGUCCUGGCCCGCCCCGGGCACUUGCUUCCCCUUCAAAGACCUCUCAGCAGACAAUUGUUUUUCACGCCCUCUGGAAGGGAACACUCAGGCCGCUGGUGAUGGGCGACGUGGCUGAAGGCGUGGGACACAGUGGGUGCCUAGUCUCUCCAGAAAUCAACCCAGGCUCGCCGAGGAGGCUGGACACAGCUCUGGGCGUGAGGACAAGGCUGGUUUGCCUUUGGUUCCUGAGCAGCACAGCCCACCUUUCCCCACCCAGACGUUCCGCCCUGCCUCGAGGGGCAAUGACACGGGUCGGCCAGGCCUGCGGUCAGAAGCAGGCGCUCUCAGAGCCAGGCUCUGGCUCUAUGACUCCACGUGCCUGGUCAAGGCGAAGGCGCUAAGGAGCCCCCCAACCCCUGCUGCCUGUGGACACCUGGAGAGCGGUGCUUCCAAGGGAAAGCAGGGAGGUGGGCUGCUGGGGGCGUGUUGGCUCCCCCACCUCGGGGGAUCGCGAGGAGAAGGCAGAUGUGGGGCCUUUGGAAGGUGACCUGGGAAGCAGGAGUGAGUGAGGGGGCGGGAGGUGGGGUAAGGAGCAAAGCCACCGAAGGCUCCUCCAUGAGAGGGUUGCUGGUGCAGGCAACUGGGGCCGAUCCCACUGAGGAUGUCGACUGUGGCACUCCUAGCUCUCACGCGGGCCGAAUGGACCGAAGCCCCAAGAGCAGAGAGGCGGGGAAUGCGGCCCCUCGGAAACGGCCCCCUUAGCUUCCGUGGGCUCAGAGGCACCUGCAGGAUUCUGGCCAGGGCAGCAACAGGGUCUAGCACCAGCGCCAGAGACCAUGACACCCACCAAACCAGGGGCAUCUGUCAGGGUUCCCAGAGGAACAGAACCCACAGGACAGAGCCGAUAGGAUAGGUGGACAGAAGGAUGAAUGGAUGGAUGGAGGGAAAGAGAUUUAUUUGAAGAAAUUGGCUCGGGCAAUUGUGGGGGCUGUCACUUCCAAAAUCUGCAGGGCAGGCAGCAGGCUGGAGACUCAGGCAAGAGCUGACUGAGGUCUCAAGUCCAAGUUCUGCAGGGCAGCAUGCUGGAGACCCAGGCAGGGUUUCUGUAUUGCAGUCUUGAGGGAGGUGCAAUUCCUUCUUCUUCAGGAAACCUUAGUCUUUGAACUUAAGGCCUCUGGCUGACCGGACAAGACCCACCCACACGACGGAAGGUCACCAGCUUUAAAAGAGUCUACUGACCUAAAUACGAAUCACAUCUACACAGCUGUCCACGGCAACAUCUAGAUGGGCGUUUGACCAAACCGGGCGCCGUGGCCCAGCCAAGUUGAUGCAUGACAUGAACCAUUGCACCGGGGUGAACCCAGGAAGGUUAACUCAUCACUAAACCAGGAAGGUGAGCCUUCCUGCUGCUCUCAGAGCCUUGAGGAAAGGGAGCGCAUUCGGGUUGAGGAAACAAAACCUCUUCUUAGAUGAUUGUUACUAAAAUUACCAUAACCCCCCAAGAAAUGGCUGCACCAUGGGUGUUAUUUUGUUUGUUUGUUUUUUUAUCUGUUAUUUUUGUACAGACAGGGUAUCCUUAUGUUGCCCAGGCUGGCCUCAAACUCCUGGCCUCAAGCGAUCUUCCUGCCUCGGCCUCCCAAAGCACUGAGAUUACAGGUGUGAGCCGCCACGCCUUGCCAUGGGAGUUAUUUUUCUCAUGUGCAAAGAUUUCGGUUUUCAGUCAGUGUGGGUCUGCACUAGCCGGGAAAACUGUCCAGAAACUCAUUCGUGUCGAGAAAGAACACAGUACAGCCCUGGCGUCCAGAGCCACCCUGAUGCUCAGGGCCAGGCUUUUGCUUUCCUCCUGGACGUAAACAACCUCCCGGAACGCCAGCUGAGACAGGGGCCACGAGACCAUGGCAGAAGGAGACGAAGCAAGGCCACCCGUAAUCGUGUCUAAGCACAAAAGCAAGGUCACCGCACAGCCCACGAAACGCUGGACGCCUCUCCUCUUGCUAAAUGAGUGGCUGCUGCCCUGUUAGAGAAUCCUACCGGGCCCCUGCGCCCUCACCACCCCAAUCUAAAACAAACCCCACC
rnacentral:lncRNA from 1 species